rnacentral:sRNA from 1 species
UACCAAUACUGCCAGUUGGAGCUCCAUCC